rnacentral:rRNA from 1 species
GGCUGCGAUCAUAGUAGGUUGAAUGCACCGCAUAGCGUCAGAACUGCGAAGUUAUGUGACGUUAGGCCGAGUAAGCACCAUGGUUGCAAACAACAUGUAAACCCACGGUGCCAUAAACU